rnacentral:rRNA from 1 species
UGACCGCUGGCGGCAGGCCUAACACAUGCACGUCGAGCGGAUGAAGGGAGCUUGCUCCUGGAUUCAGCGGCGGACGGGUGAGUAAUGCCUAGGAAUCUGCCUGGUAGUGGGGGAUAACGUCCGGAAACGGGCGCUAAUACCGCAUACGUCCUGAGGGAGAAAGUGGGGGAUCUUCGGACCUCACGCUAUCAGAUGAGCCUAGGUCGGAUUAGCUAGUUGGUGGGGUAAAGGCCUACCAAGGCGACGAUCCGUAACUGGUCUGAGAGGAUGAUCAGUCACACUGGAACUGAGACACGGUCCAGACUCCUACGGGAGGCAGCAGUGGGGAAUAUUGGACAAUGGGCGAAAGCCUGAUCCAGCCAUGCCGCGUGUGUGAAGAAGGUCUUCGGAUUGUAAAGCACUUUAAGUUGGGAGGAAGGGCAGUAAGUUAAUACCUUGCUGUUUUGACGUUACCAACAGAAUAAGCACCGGCUAACUUCGUG